AGAGUUUGAUCAUGGCUCAGAGCGAACGCUGGCGGCAGGCUUAACACAUGCAAGUCGAGCGCCUGUAGCAAUACAGGAGCGGCAGACGGGAGAGUAACACGUGGGAACGUACCCUUCAGUACGGAACAACCAAGGGAAACUUUGGCUAAUACCGUAUACGUCCGUAAGGAGAAAGAUUUAUCGCUGAAGGAUCGGCCCGCGUCUGAUUAGCUAGUUGGUGAGGUAACGGCUCACCAAGGCGACGAUCAGUAGCUGGUCUGAGAGGAUGAUCAGCCUCAUUGGGACUGAGACACGGCCCAAACUCCUACGGGAGGCAGCAGUGGGGAAUAUUGGACAAUGGGCGCAAGCCUGAUCCAGCCAUGCCGCGUGGGUGAUGAAGGCCUUAGGGUUGUAAAGCCCUUUCGGCGGGGAAGAUAAUGACGGUACCCGCAGAAGAAGCCCCGGCUAACUUCGUGCCAGCAGCCGCGGUAAUACGAAGGGGGCUAGCGUUGCUCGGAAUCACUGGGCGUAAAGCGCACGUAGGCGGACUCUUAAGUCGGUGGUGAAAUCCUGGAGCUCAACUCCAGAACUGCCUUCGAUACUGGGAGUCUUCGAGUCCGGGAGAGGUGAGUGGAACUGCGAGUGUAGAGGUGAAAUUCGUAGAUAUUCGCAAGAACACCAGUGGCGAAGGCGGCUCACUGGCCCGGUACUGACGCUGAGGUGCGAAAGCGUGGGGAGCAAACAGGAUUAGAUACCCUAGUAGUCC
rnacentral:rRNA from 1 species